GUGCUCGCUUCAGCAGCACAUACACUAAAUUUUGGAACAGUAGAGAUUAGCAUGGCCCCUGUGCAAGGAUGACACGCAAAUUCGUGAAGCAUUCCAUAUUUGG